rnacentral:rRNA from 1 species
CGUGUAGGCGGCCAGAAAAGUCCGCUGUGAAAACUCGAGGCUCAACUUCGAGCUGUCGGUGGAAACUUCCUGGCUAGAGUCCGGAAGAGGAGAAUGGAAUUCCUGGUGUAGCGGUGAAAUGCGCAGAUAUCAGGAAGAACACCCGUGGCGAAGGCGGUUCUCUGGGACGGUACUGACGCUGAGACGCGAAAGCGUGGGGAGCGAACA